rnacentral:rRNA from 1 species
AACGCGAAGAACCUUACCUACCCUUGACAUACAGAGAAUCCUGCAGAGAUGUGGGAGUGCCGAAAGGAGCUCUGAUACAGGUGCUGCAUGGCUGUCGUCAGCUCGUGUCGUGAGAUGUUGGGUUAAGUCCCGUAACGAGCGCAACCCCUAUUAUUAAUUGCUAGCAGGUAAAGCUGUGCACUUUAAUAAGACUGCUGGUGACAAACCAGAGGAAGGCGGGGACGACGUCAAGUCAUCAUGGCCCUUACGGGUAGGGCUACACACGUGCUACAAUGGGCGAUACAGAGGGUCGCGAAGUCGCGAGACGGAGCCAAUCUCACAAAGUCGCUCGUAGUCCGGAUUGCAGUCUGAAACUCGACUGCAUGAAGCUGGAAUCGCUAGUAAUCGCAAAUCAGAAUGUUGCGGUGAAUACGUUCCCGGCUUGUUACACACCGCUCGUC